UACGUAGGGUGCGAGCGUUAAUCGGAAUUACUGGGCGUAAAGCGUGCGCAGGCGGUUUUGUAAGCCAGAUGUGAAAUCCCCGGGCUCAACCUGGGAAUGGCAUUUGGGACUGCAAGGCUCGAGUGUGGCAGAGGAGACUGGAAUUCCUGGUGUAGCAGUGAAAUGCGUAGAUAUCAGGAGGAAUACCGAUGGCGAAGGCAGGUCUCUGGGCUGAAACUGACGCUCAUGCACGAAAGCGUGGGGAGCAAACAGG
rnacentral:rRNA from 1 species